AUGGGCAACUGCGGCACGCGGGAGGAGAAUGCCGUCGUCGCCGCGCACGCGCAAGUUCAGCAGCUGCACUUGCUGCAACAUUCUGCCAAGAAUGCUCUUGCAGAUAGGAAGCACAACCGGACCUUUUCAGACAUAAGUGAUCAUUCAACGCCUGGCAAAAUUGAAGAUACCAAGGACAUUUCCAUAUACAACAAUGUGAUUGCCUUCACAUUGUUUGAGCUUGAAACAAUCACAAAGAGCUUUCGUGCCGAUUAUGUUCUUGGUGAAGGAGGCUUUGGGACUGUUUACAAGGGUUAUAUAGACGAGAAUGUCCGGGUUGGCCUGAAAUCGCUGCCUGUUGCUGUCAAGGUGCUCAACAAAGAUGGACAUCAAGGACACAGAGAAUGGCUUACUGAGGUUAAUUUCCUGGGGCAGCUAAGGCAUCCAAAUCUAGUAAAGUUGAUUGGAUAUUGCUGUGAAGAUGAUCACCGGCUGCUUGUCUACGAGUUCAUGUUUCGAGGAAGUCUAGAAAAUCAUUUAUUUCGAAAGACAGCAUCCCCUUUACCCUGGGCUACUAGGAUGUCUAUAGCUUUGGGAGCUGCCAAAGGGUUGGCUUGCCUCCACAAUGCUGAAAGGCCUGUUAUCUACAGAGAUUUCAAGACCUCGAACAUUCUGCUAGACUCUGAUUAUACGGCCAAGCUGUCUGACUUUGGCCUGGCAAAAGCUGGACCAGAAGGUGAUGAGACCCAUGUAUCGACAAGAGUGAUGGGAACAUAUGGCUAUGCUGCCCCUGAAUAUGUGAUGACCGGCCACUUGACCGCCAGAAGCGAUGUCUACAGCUUUGGCGUCGUCCUUCUGGAGCUGCUCACAGGGCGCAAGUCCAUCGACAAGUCACGGUCCAGCAGGGAGCACAGCUUGGUGGACUGGGCCUGCCCCAAGCUGAAUGACAAGAGGAGGCUUCUCCAGAUCAUUGACCCGAGGCUGGAGGGGCAGUACUCAGUCAGAGCAGCUCACAAGGCUUGCAGCCUGGCAUACUACUGCCUGAGCCAGAACCCCAAGGCGAGGCCGCUGAUGAGCGACGUGGUGGAGACCCUUGAGCCACUGCAGUUGCAGGGCAGCGAUGCAAGCUUUCAGUCCAUCCAUGUCCCUGACUACAGGAUUCACCGUAGGCUAACGGGGAACAAUGUCCACUACAGGGCCAUCCCGAACCCGAAAUGCGCCCCGGCUGCCGUCCCGGCGUGCAGGGUGCGGUGA
rnacentral:rRNA from 1 species